UUUCCGCGAAAAAAUAAGAGUGUUGUAAGCAGGCAGAUUUAACUCUCUGCCACCGAAUACAUUAGCAUGGGAUAAUGAAAUAGGACCCUGUCCUCCUAUUUACGUGUUGGUUUUUGAGGACCAGGGUAAUGAUUAAUAGGGAUAGUUGGGGGCAUUAAUAUUUAAUUGUCAGAGGUGAAAUUCUUGGAUUUAUGAAAGAUUAACUUCUGCGAAAGCAUCUGCCAAGGAUGUUUUCAUUAAUCAAGAACGAAAGUUAGGGGAUCGAAGACGAUCAGAUACCGUCGUAGUCUUAACCAUAAACGAUGCCGACCAGCGAUUAGGAGACGUUGAAUACAAAACACCACCAUCUUCAGCAUGGUUGUUUUCAAAUUGGUAUUUUCGUGGUUCUUUUUUGGUAACAUCCUCCUGGAGUUCGCAGAAUGCCUCCCCUAGC
rnacentral:rRNA from 1 species